CUUAAUUUAUGGCGCAGGUCUCUUGUUUUUAGAUGAAGUAGCAUGAUCUAUUAUAAUAUGUGAUUCUAUGGAUUAUUUUGCUGUCUAAAUCUUCUGGAUAAUCUUUUUUACGCCAUGUGCACCUUGAAGAAAAUAGUCUUGCAGCCUGUAGUGGUGAAGUAUUGGUAUACUUGUUGACAUCACACAUUUUGUGUUUAAGGGUGUGAUUUUUUCACUUAUAGUUCUGAUAGCCAGAAAGCUGAAUGAAAAUACAUUUAGUUAGUCUUUUCUUUAAGCUUCUUCUCGAUUUUGCAGUAUCCUUAUUUGAGCCUAGCACAUGGCAAGCACUUAAGUUUUUUGAAAGGGUACUCAAACUCAAGAAAAAAAUGAAUUGCUUGCCAAGUUUGGCAUUGAUUACAAUGCAUUACCAAUUAUCUUUCGGAUGGGGUCCUCUGUUUUCCGGGACAGAGAUGGACCAACAGGAAAUGACAGAGUAGUUGUUGAACACUGUAACAUAAUUGAGACGAGCUUUUGGAAAGAACAUCCAAGAAUACUCGAUGAGGAGGAAUCAUUGCUAACAAUUUUACGGCCCCAUAGCAAUAAAAUGCUUCGAUUGUCUUGAAGUUGAGGAGCUGCUACCUAAGUUAUUAACCAUAUCCAGUUUUAAUCACAUUAGAAAAGUAGUUCCAAACUUUGUCAAAUAUGUAGAU